rnacentral:rRNA from 1 species
UGGGGAAUAUUGGACAAUGGGCGAAAGCCUGAUCCAGCCAUGCCGCGUGUGUGAAGAAGGUCUUCGGAUUGUAAAGCACUUUAAGUUGGGAGGAAGGGCAGUAAGCGAAUACCUUGCUGUUUUGACGUUACCGACAGAAUAAGCACCGGCUAACUCUGUGCCAGCAGCCGCGGUAAUACAGAGGGUGCAAGCGUUAAUCGGAAUUACUGGGCGUAAAGCGCGCGUAGGUGGUUCGUUAAGUUGAAUGUGAAAGCCCCGGGCUCAACCUGGGAACUGCAUCCAAAACUGGCGAGCUAGAGUAGGGCAGAGGGUGGUGGAAUUUCCUGUGUAGCGGUGAAAUGCGUAGAUAUAGGAAAGAACACCAGUGGCGAAGGCGACCACCUGGGCUCAUACUGACACUGAGGUGCGAAAGCGGGGGGAGCAAACAGG